UGGGACAGUAAGAAGUUCAUGGGACCCAAUUUUGAUAACUGAUAUCAAAAACUUAAAAUCAUCCUGGAGCACGAGCAGAUUUUGUAUGUUAUUACAGAUCCGGCACUUGAGGAGCCUGCUCCUAAUGCCCGUGGCAUGGUUUGAGACACUUAUUUGAAGUGACUCAACUACUGCACCACAGUGCGUUGUAUAAUGCAGACUGUAAUGAAUGACGACUU
rnacentral:lncRNA from 1 species